UGGGAAACCGGGUCUAAUACUGGAUGCGACCUAUCACCGCAUGGUGUGUGGGUGGAAAGAUUUAUUGGUUUUGGAUGGACUCGCGGCCUAUCAGCUUGUUGGUGAGGUAAUGGCUUACCAAGGCGACGACGGGUAGCCGGCCUGAGAGGGUGACCGGCCACACUGGGACUGAGACACGGCCCAGACUCCUACGGGAGGCAGCAGUGGGGAAUAUUGCACAAUGGGCGCAAGCCUGAUGCAGCGACGCCGCGUGAGGGAUGAAGGCCUUCGGGUUGUAAACCUCUUUCAGUAGGGAAGAAGCCGUAAGGUGACGGUACCUGCAGAAGAAGCGCCGGCUAACUACGUGCCAGCAGCCGCGGUAAUACGUAGGGCGCAAGCGUUAUCCGGAAUUAUUGGGCGUAAAGAGCUCGUAGGCGGUUUGUCGCGUCUGCCGUGAAAGUCCGGGGCUUAACCCCGGAUCUGCGGUGGGUACGGGCAGACUAGAGUGCAGUAGGGGAGACUGGAAUUCCUGGUGUAGCGGUGAAAUGCGCAGAUAUCAGGAGGAACACCGAUGGCGAAGGCAGGUCUCUGGGGCUGUAACUGACGCUGAGGAGCGAAAGC
rnacentral:rRNA from 1 species